rnacentral:snoRNA from 1 species
AAGACUAUACUUUCAGGGAUCAUUUCUUUAGUCGCUGACUUGAGAAAUGUGUUUCUAAAGAGUUUGGUCUUGCUGAAGAGCACGUGCAUUGGAGGUUUUUCAAGGUCUCAGGGGC